rnacentral:rRNA from 1 species
GGUGAGUAACACGUGGGCAAUCUGCCCUGCACUCUGGGACAAGCCCUGGAAACGGGGUCUAAUACCGGAUACUGAUCCUCGCAGGCAUCUGCGAGGUUCGAAAGCUCCGGCGGUGCAGGAUGAGCCCGCGGCCUAUCAGCUAGUUGGUGAGGUAACGGCUCACCAAGGCGACGACGGGUAGCCGGCCUGAGAGGGCGACCGGCCACACUGGGACUGAGACACGGCCCAGACUCCUACGGGAGGCAGCAGUGGGGAAUAUUGCACAAUGGGCGAAAGCCUGAUGCAGCGACGCCGCGUGAGGGAUGACGGCCUUCGGGUUGUAAACCUCUUUCAGCAGGGAAGAAGCGAAAGUGACGGUACCUGCAGAAGAAGCGCCGGCUAACUACGUGCCAGCAGCCGCGGUAAUACGUAGGGCGCAAGCGUUGUCCGGAAUUAUUGGGCGUAAAGAGCUCGUAGGCGGCUUGUCACGUCGGUUGUGAAAGCCCGGGGCUUAACCCCGGGUCUGCAGUCGAUACGGGCAGGCUAGAGUUC